rnacentral:rRNA from 1 species
AGGACGAACGCUGGCGGCGUGCUUAACACAUGCAAGUCGAACGGAAAGGCCCUGCUUUUGUGGGGUGCUCGAGUGGCGAACGGGUGAGUAACACGUGAGUAACCUGCCCUUGACUUUGGGAUAACUUCAGGAAACUGGGGCUAAUACCGGAUAGGAGCUCCUGCUGCAUGGUGGGGGUUGGAAAGUUUCGGCGGUUGGGGGAUGGACUCGCGGCUUAUCAGCUUGUUGGUGGGGUAGUGGCUUACCAAGGCUUUGACGGGUAGCCGGCCUGAGAGGGUGACCGGCCACAUUGGGACUGAGAUACGGCCCAGACUCCUACGGGAGGCAGCAGUGGGGAAUAUGCACAAUGGGCGGAAGCCUGAUGCAGCAACGCCGCGUGCGGAUGACGGCCUCGGGUUGUAAACCGCUUCGCCUGUGACGAAGCGUGAGUGACGGUAAUAGGUAAAGAAGCACCGGCUAACUACGUGCUAGCAGCCGC